CCUAUCGGCAAGGACGUUAAAUACGAGAUAACAAGGAAGAGACUUUGAACUUGUUUAUCCUAACUGAAAAGGGUUAAUUGAAUAGUUAAUUGAAACAUCUUACUAGACUAUGAGGAAUACAUCAACUGAGAUUCCGUGCGUAGCGGCGAGCGAUAGCGGAGGAAUUGUCUCAAACAGAUAAUUAAGAUGAUUGGACAUCUAGACUAAACCCCGAUAGACACCUAUAGAGAAAGUACCGUGAGGGAAAGACUCAGAAUUGGUUCUAAAAGUUACCUUUUGCAUAAUGGGCCUGCAAGACAAACUUUGGCAAGCUUAAGUAGUAAAUGAAGGCGUAGUGAAAGCAAGAGAAAACUCGUCAGUCAAAUUUCCCGAAACCAAGUGAUCUAACCAUGGCCAGGUAGCUAUGCUGACCGAACCAGUGAUUGUGGCAAAAAUCUUGGAUGAGCUGUGGUUAGCGGUGAAAUUCUAGUCGAACUUGGAUAUAGCUGGUUCUCUACGAAACUUAUCUUAGUAAGGCGCCUCAAGUUGAUUCGCCCCCAAACCCGGGGGCUUGAAUUACUGGUGUAGUAAGACUAUGGCGACAAGGCCUUUAGUCAAAAGGGGUAAGCCCUAACCAGAAAUUAAAGUCACUAAUACAGAUUAAGUGUAUAAAGAGGGUUCAACUUAGACAAGCAGGAAGUAGGCUUGGAAACAGCCAUCUGCACAGGAAAACGUAAAAGUUCACUGAAUGAGCUAGGAAACUCUAAGAAUUAAGGUGGCUAAAUCUGUAACUGAAAUUCUGGAAGCCAGAUCGUAAGGCAUUAACUGGCUUGGUAGUAGAGCGUUCUGUAGGCACGAUAUGUGCGCACCUCGUGAGAUAAACAGAAGUGAUAAUGCAGGCAUGAGUAGUACAAGAUUCACUCCCAAAUAAAUUGACACAGCUUCUAAGGGCAUUACGCCCGAUGGAUUAUAAUUCUUGAACCUGUUCAGGAAAAAUAUUAUGGUACUUUGUACCUUUAACUGUUAUUAAUGGGACUUAUAUAGGCAUAAUUUCUCUUAAGGAACUCGGCAAUAUAAGAUCUCGACUGUUUACCAAAAACAUAGCUCUCUGCUAAAGGUUACUGAAGUAUAGAGGGUGAAUUCUGCCCAAUGGUUGUAUAGUGAAACUAAGGACUAACGUCUAAAGCGAAACCCAACUGAAUGGCCGCGGUAACUCUGACCGUGAUAAUGUAGCACAAUAAAUAGCCAAUUAAUUGUUGGCGGGUAUGAAUGGAACCACGAGGGUCUUACUGUCUCAAGAGGAAAGCCAAUGAAAUUAUAGUUGUAGUGAAGAUACUACAUAAACAUUGUAAGACGAAAAGACCCUAUCGAGCUUUACUGGAUAUCUAUAGCGUUAACUUAAAAUGAUCGAUACUAAGUAUCCUAAUUUUGAGUUAAUAAAAUUUGUUGGUAGGACAGUUUAGUUGGGGCGACUACCUUUGAAUAAGAAACGAAGGCGAGCUUAUGGUAUACAAAGCUAAUCUCUUUAGCCUGACAGUGAGGGGGACACCCCUAGCUGGCACAAGGACUAGGUUCUAUGUGGGCGAUAAUGACCCGAUAUGAUUGUCCAAAAUAAAUAUCGAAAGCGGAUAAAAGCUACCGUAGGGAUAACAGCGUAAUAUUGUCGGAGAGUUCUUAUCGAGGACAGUGUUUGCGACCUCGAUGUUGAAUUGCGGUGCCCUGGUGCUGUAGAAGGUACCCUAGGUUGGUCUGUUCGACCAUGAAAACCGUACAUGAUUUGAGUUCAGAGCGUGGUGACACAGCUCGGUUUCUAUCUACAAUGUUCAAUCCCAACUUUUUGAGUCCUAGUACGCAAGGAAUGGUCUCAGCGAUGCUCGACUAUAUUGGCCCCAUCGAUGUAAUUAACUUCUGGCUGCUGCAAAGAAGGAGAACAAAAGGUUUAGGGAUUAAUAAGAUCACCUUCUUAUAUGCCAUGUGGGUGCAUAGCCCCUGGCAUACUAUGGAAUUAACACUAGGGCUCAUCAUACUAAUAGUGUUGACGUAUGGAUUAAAGGCCCCUACUUUAAGAUUAGCUAUGCUACUUGCGGGGGCUGCUGGGCUAUUAGCUGUGCCCCAUCUACUAUGUUGGACACAGGCUAUUAAGAUGUUGGUGAUGCUUAGUGGGUUAGCUAUACU
rnacentral:rRNA from 2 species